GGAUGUUCAUUUUCCUUUUCCCUUGUAAUAAUCAAUAAUGCUGUACUUCUUUGUCUCGAAUAUAUAUUUGAUGAGAUAUUUUCCAUAUGCUAUUAAAUGCUUAAAUUUCAAAAUUUGCAAAUAGAACCCUAAAAGUUCCUUGAAAUAAAAACAAAGCAUAUGCACGAGCAUUGCAUGCAUCAUUUGCAUAAGCAGGUGUUGU
rnacentral:lncRNA from 1 species